rnacentral:lncRNA from 1 species
CAUGUUUAAUUUCUGCUAUCUGUUUAUGAAAUUUUCUAUUACUAAUUGUUUACUGAUCUCUCGAAUGGCAUUCGUCUGUAUCAUUUAGAUUGAUCUCGCUUUAGUCUCGUAUCAAUCAAUCACGCCUCCUGAGCAGAGUAUAGGCAACUAUACUGUCUGUCCCGGGAAUAAUAAGUCCCUAGCCGGACGUGAUUUGUUGUUGAUGAACAGAAGAGAGCUUGAUUAUUAGGAUUGAUUUUCUUUUUA